rnacentral:lncRNA from 10 species
AGUCUGUCUGACACGGUCGGCUGUGCGUGGGUCCCGGUGUCUGUCUCCGCGUGCACCUGCAUAUCUGCUCAUCUUGUCUCCCUCUGUGCCUGUGUCUGACGCGUUCCUGUCAUUAUCCCUGUCUACAUGACUCCGCGGGGCUGUCUCUGUCUGUGUGUCUGCCUAGCUCCUGUCUCGGUCUUUUGUCUGGGUCUGCCUCUGCAUCACUAGCGUGAUCACGUGUGUCUCCGCACAUGCCCUUCUGUGUUUGCCUUCAUGUUACUGAACAGAGUCGGGGCGACACUGGCGCAGGCCCACCCUCCUGACUCCUUGCUACACUCCUCUCGAUCCUGACGUCUCGCUGGAUCAGUGAUCAUUCUGUCUGAGUCAAGAAUUUGGAGGUCUGUCUGCCUUCAAUCAAGUUCUGUCCCAUCCCUCGACAUCCCUGCUUAUCCUCAGAGCUCCCUGUGGCUCCCACUGUGGUGAUAACUGCUAGCAUUUUGUGAAUAUUUGUUACAUGCCAGGCACUGUAUUAAGUAUUUUACAAGCAUUUCUUUUACUCCUCCCCAAAACCUGACAUAGGAGGUACUCUGAUUACCCCCAUUUUACAGAUGAGGAAAUUGAGGCCCAGAGAGGCUAGGUGACUUGGCCAAAGUCAUUCUGCAAGUGAAGAAUGAAAGAGCUAGGCUUCUUUCCAGAGCCACAUUCUUACCACUCUUAUGUACUGCCUCUGUCCUACUCUCCCUCCCUUGGUUUUAUCCUCACAGGCCAUCUCCUGGGUCAACCUUCCUUUCAGCUCUACCCAUGUUACCAUCCCCAAUGUCUCACGUCCUCUAGAGGAUAAAGUAGGAGGCUGUGCAGCAAAUCUCAGAAGUCAUAGGUUCUUCAUAAUGAAGCUCAUUCAGUUAACAUUAUUCAACACAAAUCCACCAUGCACCCCAAUGUGCAAAACAUCAAGCAAAAUAGUGAGAGACACAUAGAAGAAAACAGUCCCACUCGAGAAACCCCAUAUGUAAUGAGGAAGAACAACACAGAGAGAACUUAAGCCCCUGGCUUAGGGAUUAUCUUCCCUUUUCUCCUACAAAGGAAUGGGAAAUAAAGCAGGGCCUCAGGCAGAGAACUGACAGAAGGAGAGAGGGAAGCAGAAGAGUAAGACUUAGGUAUGGGGGCAAAUGCUAUAGUGCAGUGGGGAGAGAAUGGGACUGAAAGAGAUCUGGAAGGAAAGGUGAAAUGCCAAGACUGCUGUGGCUGGCAGUGAUCUCCACUAUCUCCCCAAAUAAAUUCUGAACACCCUCCAAAAGCCAGGGUGUUCAACAACUCCUAUAGGGACAAAGCUGUUUCCCUACCAAGAAAAAAUUCCUCCAGGGUAGCUCAUAUCCACUUUUCAGCUUGCAAACUCCCUCUUCAUUUCAAUAAGCAACUGAGUUGUAGCACUAGGGAGAUAGUGGGGAAAAGAUUUUUUGGUAGUAGUGGAGAGGCUGGUGAAGUACAGGGCUGAACCAUUUAUAGGAGAUAGAAGGGAGGUCCAUAAACCAGGAGGGCUGAACCACUCAAGCACCACAUGGUGGGGUGCUUAGAAUUGGACUGGACCAUUCUGAAGAGUGGGCAUGAUCCAGAUCAUACCGAGCAUCUCCAACCAUGUGGUGCAGAGUUAGACUGCUGAGGAGAGAGGGUCACUCAGACAGGACUUACCAGAUGGAGUUUGGUGUGCCCUGUCUCAUUGGAACCACCACCCCAGCAGUGGGGUACAACAGACCACAGUGGGUGGGGUGGGCAGUGCUACGGGGCUGGCAUGUUGCCCUGGGGGGAACCU